GUGUUGAAGUACAUCAAGAACAGGUCGUAUGGAGAUCAGCUUCUCAGAUGGCAACCUUCUUGCUCUACCCCCCUCUCUGAGGCUGGAGCAGAUGGAUAUUGAAAAGGGCCCAAGCACAAGGUAUGGACCCAGCUAAGUUCCCUCCUGAGCAGCUAGGUAAAGCAGUGGAUAGAGUGCUGGGUGUAGAGUCAGGACAAGUGGAGUUUAAAUCCAGCCUCAGGCAUGCUUAACUAGUCACUUAACUUCUGCCUCAGUUUCCUCAACUGUAAAAUGAGGAUAAAUAGCACUCCCCCCUCCCCCCCAGCUGUUGUGAGGAUCAAAUAAGAUAUUUGUAAAAGCACCUAGCAAAGUGCCUGACAUGUGGUAGGCACUCAAUAAAUGUUUAUUCUCUUUCUGAGUGUUAGGAGCUAUCCUAUCUCCUGGCAUCAGUAGAAUGAAAAGGACAGGGGAAGGUGCCAUCAAUUCUUAAGGAAAACCAAGGCAACAAGACAAGGCAAAAGGAAAAACAACUAACCCAAAGUCUCAGUCGAGUCGGGGCCAAAGAAACAUUCAGGAUCUCUAAUAGGGUAUUAGUGUCUCAUGUACAUAAAGUGUUUUGCAAACUUUAAAGCACUAUGGAAUUGUUAGUCACUAUUAUUAUUGUUAAUUCACUCAGGCCCCAUACUUCUUAAAAAAAAAAAGACAAGAAAAAGAAAGUCUUACUUUCUCUUUUAGAAUUAAUACCAUUAGUGAUAAGGGCUAGGCAAUUGAAGUUAAAUGACUUGCCCAAGGGUCACACACCUAGGCUGUGUCUAUGGACACAUUUGAACCCAGAUCCUCCUGAUUCCAGGGCUGGUGCUCUAUCCACUGUGCUACUUAGCUGCUCCUCAUCUCCCUAUCUCUUCCAAGAAUCCUUUCAUGAUUGGCCUAGUUUUCUCUUCCCCUUGAAAUCCAUUUUUAUCAGUUUGGAAUUUACUUUUCAAUAGCAACAGUUUCUUUUUGUUUUUGUAUCCCUGGUGCUUAACAAAAUGGCUGGCACACAGUAGGCUCUCAAUAAAAGCUAGCUGGCAGCAAGAUUUAAUGGGUGCUCCAGGCCCUGUAGUAAGAACUAGGGAUACAAAUGCAAGUUAAAAAAAAAAACAGGUUCUGCCUUCAAGGAACUUGCAAUCUAAUGAGGAAGCCCUUAGAAACCUAGGGGACAUAAAGGGACACCUUAUCUAUAGAGGUGGGGUGGCAAUGCCUAGAAGCACAGCUAGGAGGGCAAAAGUUAAGCAUGGCUAGCUCCCCAAAGGCAACAGAGUAGAGAAGUUUUUGGAUUAGAAAUCCUUUGGAGGCAAGGCUUGUAUCUCAUUGAACAAAUUCAAUUCAUUACUAAUUUUGGAGGUGGGGAGAGAAAUGCAGGGGAGGGUUCAAAGAGAAGGUAGCAAAUGAGUUGGAUUUUAAAGGACAGCUAGGAAUUCAAGAGGCAUAAUCCCAAAACAACACAGCAAGGGACAACAGAUUUUUCACUAAGAGUUGUCAAACCUAUAGGUUUUGCCAACUUAAUAAUAAAAGCAUUAGGCAACAACUCUAAGAGUACUGUCUGGGCUUUUGUUGUUGUCGUUGUUCAAUUAUUUCAGUUGUGACCGACUCUUCAUGACCCCACUUGGGAUUUUCUUAGCAAAGAUACUGGUUUGCCAUUCCUUCUCUGCCUCAUUUGAAGAUGAGGAAACUGAGGUAAAAGUGGUUUUGAUCUAUUUUUUGCUAGUCAUCAAAUCCCUGCACUUGUACCUAUUCAAGACAGCUGGAAACAUGAUAUGUGAACUUGUCAUAGUAUUAGGCAGCAACCACCAAGGUUAAGGUCCCACAUUUCAUGCUCACAAAACAAAAGCAGGUACCUUAAAAGCCUGUCAGAAAAUAACAGUGCUAAGCAAACUGUGCCAUAUGAACAAAGGUAAUAUUUCUGUACCUUAAGAAACAAUGAAUAUGAAGAAAGUGGAAAUACCCAUAUGAACUCAUACAAAAAGUAAACCAAAGUUGGAAAACAAAAUGCAUAGUGAUUACAACAAUGUAAAUAGGAAGAACACAAAAAGAAACCAUGUAAUUAUAGUGGUCAAGCUUGGCCCCAAACAGAUGAAAACAUGCACCUCCCUCCUGUCAUUAGAGAAGUGAGGAACUAUGGGUUCCUAGUGCACAUCCUAUCAGCUUCAGCUGAUGACUUUCCUGCAACUGCUUUGUUUUCUUUUAUCAGCUUCUUUUUUAAUUCUUUGUUGCCAGAGAUGGCUCUUGACAUAUUUGUAAAUGAAGGUCAUAUAAAAACAAAAGAUAGCAAUAAGAAAAAAUUUAAGGAUAAAAGAUACUCACAGUUAUAUGGUACUUUAAGGUUUGCAAAGAACUUUCCUUACAAUUACUCUUUGAAGAAAGUAUAUUUUCAUUUUACAAAUGAAGAAAACCAAAUACAUGAAUGGAUUUUUCUUUCAGUCCAAAAGUAAACAUUAUAUGAAAUGGAUAAAAGUUAGAGGCCUUUCCAGUAAAAUCAGUAGUAAAGGAAGGAUGCCCAUCAUUGCCACUACUAUUUAACAUAGUGCUAGAAAUGCUGACAACAGCAAUAAGUUAAGUAAAGGAAACUGAGGGAAUAAGAAAGGCCAAGAAAAAAAAUCACUUUUGCAAAUGAUUUACUUAAGGGAAUCUUUAAGAAAUAACUUCAACAAAUUUGAAUAAUAUGAGAUAAAUCCACAUAAAUCAUAAGCAUAACUAACAAAACCCAAUAGAAAGGGAAAUUACAUUCAAAAUAAGCAUUGGUAUAUAUAACUAACAAAACCCAAAAGGAAGGGAAAUUACAUUCAAAAUAACUGCAGAAGCUAUAAAAUAUUUGGAAGUAUAUAUAGUAAGAUUCAUCCAAAGUUUAAAUUAAUUUAAUUAUAACACAACCUUUGCAGAAAUAUAAACACAUAAAAAAACUAACUGAGCAUGGUGAGUUUACACCAAUAUAAUAAAAAUACUACACAAAUUAAUAAUUUAUUUAGUCCUGUACUGUAGUCCCAAAAGAAUAUUUUAUAGAGCUAGAAAAAAUAAUAAUGAAUUCAUUGGAGAAACAAAAGGUUAAGAAUCUCAAGGGUAAUAAAAAGUGAGAAAAAAGGGAAUCUGUCAUAUCAGAUUUUAAAUUACAAAGAAGUAAUCAUUUAAAUGGUUUGAUAUUGGUUAAAAAAAAAAAGAUGUUGAUCAUUGGAACAAAUUAGGUACACAACAUACAGACACAAAGGAACCUGAUAGCCUAAUGUUUAAUAAACUCAAAGAUCCCAGCCAAUAGUAGAUGGACUCACUAUUUGUUAAAAACUAUUGGGAAAUCUGGACAGUAUUCAAGCAGAAAUUAAGUUUAGGCCAGCACCUCAAACCAUAUACCCAGUUAAGCUCCACAUAGGUACAUAACUUAAAUAUAACCUUUUAGGUUAGAGGAGCAAAGAAGAAACUACUUUUUAGAUUUAUGGAUAGGGGAAGAGUAUGACCAAACAAGGAUGGAGAGGAUUACAGAAGAUGAAACUGAACAAUUUUAAUUACAUUAAAUUUAAAGACUUUUGCACAAAUUCAGUACAGCCAAGAUUGGAAGGGAAAUCUUUAUAAGCUUCACUCAUUCCCAAGCCACAGAAGGAAUUGAUUCAAAUGUAUAAGACUAAGAGCCAUUUUCCAGUUGAUAAAUGGUCAAAGGAUAUGAACAGACAGUUUCUCAAAGAAAGAAAUUCAAACUAUCUAUAAUUAUAUUUAAAAAGAAAUGCUUCAAAUCACUAAUAAUAAUAUUAAAGGAGCUUUUGAGGUUCUAUACUACACCCACCAGACUGGCAAAGUCUAAAAGGAAAAUGACAAAUGUUGGAGGGAAAAUAGGUACAUUUAUGUACUGUUUGGGAACUGUAAACUAACUGGUCCAGCCAUUCUGGAAAGCAAUUUGGAACUAUUUCCCCCAAAUUACUAAACUUUGAUCCAGCAAUGCUACUACUAUGCUCAUACCACCAAAAAAAAAAAAGAUAAAAAGGGAAGAAUUCUGUAUGUACAAAAAUAUUUUUGCUCCUUUUGUAAUAAACAAACAUUAGAAACUAAGGUGAUUUUCUCCAUUUGGGAAAUUGCUAAACAAGUUAUGGUACAGGGAUAUUAAUAGAAUAUUAUUGUGAUAUAAGAAAUGAUGAAUUAGACAACUUCAGAGGAAACUAGGAAGACUUCCAUGAACUGACAGAACGAAAUUAGAAUAGGAAAACAAUUUAUACAAUGAUAACUGUAUUCUAAAGAAAAACAACUCUGAAAGACUUUUAGACCUCUGAACAACACUACAAUAAACCACAAGUCCAAAAGAAUGAAGAUAAAACACAACACUGACCUAACAAAGGUGAGGAGGGAACUUUUAUUAAACAUCUACUAUGUGUUAGGCACUUUACGAGUAUUAUCUCAUUGAUCACUUCAACAACUCUGGGACAUAAGCACUGCUAUAAUUUGCAUUUUACAGUUGAGGAAAUUGACACAGACAGAGGUUAAGUGACUUGUACAAAUAAGCAUCUGAGGCCAGAUUUAGACUCAGAUCUUCUGGACUCCACAUCCAGAGUUUAUCUCCUCACCACCUAGGUGCCUCUAAUCAUACACAUGGAUGAUAACCCCUCUGCCUAGAAUGCUCUCCUCUUCUCUCCUAAUCUUUGUCCUUCAAGGCCAAGUUCAAGUCCCACCCCUUCUCUAAAGACUUUCCAGACAGACCCUUACCAACCCAUCCUGCCUUCUACCAGUGUUCAAGAAUUUCUCCAUCUCUUGAAUGAGAAAAAGAAACAAUCUUCCCACAAGGCCUGAGACCUCCAACUGGAAGCUUUGACAAUAAUUCACAGGAAAUGAUUUUCAGUCCCACCAAUCAAUCCACUAAAUCAAACUACAUCAACGAAGAAAUUGCCCACAGAACUAAUGCUUUGUGAAACUGGUAGAAAAAAAUUCAGUUCAACAAUGACUCUGUAAAACAAAAA